AAGUAGCACCUGCACUCCUUGGACACGCUAGCUUAGCUCAUGGUUUACCACUCGCUGCACCAGCCUUGGCACCACUCGCUGUUAAGACACUCGCCGCACCCGCUUUAGUGCAUACCGCCGUCGCUGGGCAUGGCGUGCAUUACGGUUACUAAGCAGAAACACAGUUAAGCAAACGGAGCGUAGGAGUGAGUGAGAGAGCAGCAGUAAUGGGUGGAGACGGAAGCGCUGAAAACGAAGCGACAGUACGCCAACGUCGUGACACUAAAUAACAAAAACAAAAAUAAAAAAAUUAACAUAAAAAAACUAAAAUAAAAAUAAAAAAUUUAAAAAUAAAAUUAAAGCCAAGCAGUAAAUAAGAAAAGAAGAAAAUAAAAUAUUACACAAUUAUGUAGGAGAACAGCAGGAAAUUACAACAAGCACACAAACACAAUAAAGCAAAUUCAUCUGCAUGCAUGUACAACAACGACACCGACAACAACAACAACAGCAGCAAACACCACAACAAUGAAUAACAACUAAGACAACACAAACGCCAAUAAAACACGCAUGAAUGGCAAACAAGAAAAUACAAACAAAAGCGGCAAAAAAAGCGAGCAAAAGCAAGCAAAAGCAAAAUGGCACUAGAAGCGGAAGCGUUGGUAAAAACAAGCGGGGGCUGAGGUGUAAAAAAUAGACACGAAAAAGCGCAUGCAUAAUUUGUAAAUAACUUUCGUUAUAUAUUUUGCGUGUAAAAAUGUGGCAA